rnacentral:ribozyme from 1 species
UGCCCAGCAACUCCUAUUCCUACCUCCUUGUGGUACCAGCCGGAAAGUAUGAGCAACCUUAGGGAAGAUCGGGUAACCAACCCCUGUGGGAGCUUUGGUCGUAGGCUGGUAGGGAAGG